GACACUUAUCAAAUAUCCACAAACUUAAAUUCUUAUUCAUCCUGAGUAAUAUUACCUACUAAAUAUACAAGCAAACAAAUAAAAAUAUAAAUGCAUUAGAUAACUUUACCGAACUUGCAUCAAGUAUUGAAAUCGUUUGAAAUUUUACAAAAGGCUUAUAGUUGGAACGAAAAAUAAUUAUUUACUCAUUCAGUGCUCGAUCAAUAUGUGUGUGUAUAAUCAAUCUAAUAAUUAUGAGCUUUUAAAUUGAUUGUUUCUUGACCUUUAAUAGUCAAAUAUUUCCUCUCUCUCGUGGAAUACACACCCUUAAACUUAUUUUUCAAUCACAAAAUCGAUGUGCAUAUUUAAGGUUGAUUUUACAAUAAUCCCGCUAAUGUUUUGUCGGGUUUCACCAAUGAAAGUUACUAUCUCAAUAUGUGAUGAUUUUCCUUAAGUUUUAAUGUCUUAACCUCCAAGCUUCAACUAGGAUAAUAACCAUCACCAAAAGUCUAAAUUCGAAAUUCAGUAUCCAAGGUUUAGCCGGACAGAAACAAUGAUUAUAGUUGUUUUGCCACUACUUCAACACAUUUUGAUGUAUUUUUCUUUUCAUUUGUUUUUAUUGCGUCAAACCUUCUGCUUUUUGGGUCUUUUAUUUGAUUUUCGAAGAUAAUUUUCAUUCUAUAUUGCAGGCAGUCUUCUUCCUUGAUGGAUCUUCUCCUAAACAUAGGAGAUAAAUAAGGUUAGAUUAUUCAAGACUAGCUUCCCACAACAAUGUAGGUAACUUUUUUCCUACGUGCCAUGGCUUGAGCAAUG
rnacentral:lncRNA from 1 species